GAUGAACGCUGGCGGCGUGCCUAAUACAUGCAAGUCGAGCGAACAGACGAGGACCUUGCCCCUCUGACGUUAGCGGCGCACGUGUGAGUAACAUGUGGAUAACCUACCUAUAACACUGGUAUAACUUCGGGAAACCGGAUCUAAUACCGGAUAAUAUAUUGAACCGCAUUGUUCAAUAGUGAAAGACGGUUUUGCUGUCACUUAUAGAUGGAUCCGCGCCUCAUUAUCUAGUUGUUAAGGUAACGGCUUACCAAGGCAACGAUGCGUAGCCGACCUGAGAGGGUGAUCGGCCACACUGGAACUGAGACACGGUCAAGACUACUACGAGAGGGACCAGUAGGGAAUCUUACGCAAUGGGCGAGAGCCUGACGGAGCAACGCCACGUGAGUGAUGAAGGCGUUCGGAUCGUAAAACUCUGUUAUUAGGGAAGAACAAAUGUGUACGUAACUAUGCACGUCUUGACGGUACCUAAUCAGAAAGCCACGGCUAACUACGUG
rnacentral:rRNA from 1 species